UACGGAGGGUGCAAGCGUUAUCCGGAUUCACUGGGUUUAAAGGGUGCGUAGGAGGACAGGGUAAGUCAGUGGUGAAAUCUCCGAGCUUAACUUGGAACUGCCGUUGAUACUAUCUGCCUUGAAUAUUGUGGAGGUGAGCGGAAUAUGUCAUGUAGCGGUGAAAUGCUUAGAUAUGACAUAGAACACCAAUUGCGAAGGCAGCUCGCUACACAUAUAUUGACUCUGAGGCACGAAAGCGUGGGGAUCAAACAGG
rnacentral:rRNA from 1 species